rnacentral:tRNA from 1 species
GGUAGAAUGGCUGAAGAUAAGCGGUGGAUUGUAGCUCCAUAAAUAGAGGUUUGAGUCCUCUUUUUACCA